rnacentral:lncRNA from 1 species
CCCUGCUAGUUGUUGUUGCUCCCACCUGCCUUCACAACCCUACUGCCAAACUACCAUCCACAAUCACUAUUGUUGUCACUGUUCUUUGUCACCAUCAUUGUCCUCCAUUAUUGUUGUUAUUCUCUAUCUACUAUUACUAUUGCACUCUACUACAAAUCCUUGUUUUUGUAGAAAAAAAUAAAAAUCUCUCCAAAAUUUUUAAUAUUUUUAAUUUCAAGUUCAACUUUAUUGUUUUAUUUGACUUUACAUUUCAAGGUGCAUUUCACUCAACCUUUUUUACUUGAUCUUAUAU